UUGUGGUUAAAAAGCUCGUAGUUGGAUUUCGGCGGACUGAGGGCGGUUUGCUUGCUAGUAUUACUGCCCUAUAGUCCGUAGUUUUGCCAGAGGUUUCGGGGUGCUCUUAAUCGAGUGUCCCGGGAUGCUGGCAGGUUUACUUUGAAAAAAUUAGAGUGCUCAAAGCAGGCUAUUACGCCUGAAUAUUCGUGCAUGGAAUAAUAGAAUAGGAAGUCGUUUCUAUUUUGUUGGUUUUCGGAAAUCGACUUAAUGAUUAAUAGGGACAGUCGGGGGCAUUUGUAUUCAAACGACAGAGGUGAAAUUCUUGGACCGUUUGAAGACAAACUACUGCGAAAGCAUUUGCCAAGAAUGUUUUCAUUAAUCAAGAACGAAAGUUAGAGGUUCGAAGGCGAUUAGAUACCGCCCUAGUUCUAACCAUAAACGAUGCCAGCUAGCGAUCUGCGGACGUUUUUUUUGUAGACUCCGCAGGAAGCUUCCGGGAAACCAAAGCAUUUGGGUUCCAGGGGAAGUAUGGUCGCAAAGCUGAAACUUAAAGGAAUUGACGGAAGGGCACCACCAGGAGUGGAGCCUGUGGCUUAAUUUGACUCAACACGGGAAAUCUCACCAGGCCCGGACACUGGAAGGAUUGACAGAUUGAUAGCUCUU
rnacentral:rRNA from 1 species